UACGUAGGGUGCAAGCGUUAAUCGGAAUUACUGGGCGUAAAGCGUGCGCAGGCGGUUGUGCAAGACCGAUGUGAAAUCCCCGGGCUUAACCUGGGAAUGGCAUUGGUGACUGCACGGCUAGAGUGUGUCAGAGGGGGGGUAGAAUUCCACGUGUAGCAGUGAAAUGCGUAGAGAUGUGGAGGAAUACCGAUGGCGAAGGCAGCCCCCCUGGGAUAACACUGACGCUCAUGCACGGAAAGCGU
rnacentral:rRNA from 1 species